rnacentral:rRNA from 1 species
AUUGAACGCUGGCGGCAGGCCUAACACAUGCAAGUCGGGCGGGCGGCGGACGGGUGAGUAGUGGAUGGGCAUGUGCCUGAUGUAGGGGGAUAACUACUGGAAACGGUAGCUAAUACCGCAUACGAUCAGAUCAGCCCACGUGGGAUGAGGGAGUUGGUGAGGUAAAGGCUCACCAAGCCGACGAUCGCUAGCUGGUCUGAGAGGAUGACCAGCCACACUGGGACUGAGACACGGCCCAGACUCCUACGGGAGGCAGCAGUGGGGAAUCUUGCGCAAUGGGCGAAACCCUGACGCAGCCAUGCCGCGUGAAUGAAGAAGGCCUUCGGGUUGUAAAGUUCUUUCGGUAGCGAGGCGUUAACUACAGAAGAAGCACCGGCUAACUCCGUGCCAGCAGCCGCGGUAAUAC